ACACUCCUACGGGAGGCAGCAGUGGGGAAUAUUGGACAAUGGGCGCAAGCCUGAUCCAGCCAUGCCGCGUGAGUGAUGAAGGCCCUAGGGUUGUAAAGCUCUUUCACCGGUGAAGAUAAUGACGGUAACCGGAGAAGAAGCCCCGGCUAACUUCGUGCCAGCAGCCGCGGUAAUACGAAGGGGGCUAGCGUUGUUCGGAUUUACUGGGCGUAAAGCGCACGUAGGCGGACUAUUAAGUCAGGGGUGAAAUCCCGGGGCUCAACCCCGGAACUGCCUUUGAUACUGGUAGUCUUGAGUUCGAGAGAGGUGAGUGGAAUUCCGAGUGCAGAGGUGAAAUUCGUAGAUAUUCGGAGGAACACCAGUGGCGAAGGCGGCUCACUGGCUCGAUACUGACGCUGAGGUGCGAAAGCGUGGGGAGCAAACAGGAUUAGAUACCCGUGUAGUCCCAUGA
rnacentral:rRNA from 1 species